UUCCACUGGCCACUGCACUAGUUGCUUGCCGUUUCUGUCAAGCCAAAUCUGCCUCGGAAUUGACUGCAAAGGAUUAUCCAUAAACCAUUGAGAUUGAGGAUCAGUGUGAUUCUAAUACAUCAUGCAGCAUCAAUAAAUAUGUAAUGUCAAUCACCUGAAGUCCAUACCCUCCUUUCUUUAGAUCAUCUUCCAUACUAUCGGAUUCGUUUACCCAAGCGCAUAGUAUCCUUCGGUUCUUCUUACCGUCAAAGAACGACUUUGAGGCAUAGAAUUUACCGUAAUCAAAUCUCAAGUCCGAACUGGUUCCGGUAAGGUCAGCAUCAGGAAGGAACCUUUCCUGCUCGUUAACAUAAGUCCCUACUAUAUAGACAUCAUGGGAAUUGAAACUUGCCUUCAUGACAUGCCUAACACUUGGGUUUUCAAUAGAGGUGUCAACCCCAUUGGUGCCGUUAAUCGACACGGGAAAGAAGUCCGGACACUCCCACAUCUCGGUUUUUGACGACAAAUAAAGGGGAUCUUGAUGCAUUGUCCAAUGAAUAAAAUCUUGACUUUUGUAGAGUAUAGCCAUGCCCUGGUUAUUGCUAUAGCUUCCAAUGACUACUUUCCAGGUUCCAUCAGGGCCCUGCCAAGCAGUUGUUGGAUCUCUAAAGUUAUCUCCAUUAACACCAUCCGGUGGAGUCAUUAGAGGGUUUCCGGAGUAUUUGACCCAUUCAACUAGCAAUGGAUCGGAUUCGUUUUUCGGGGUUGCCAGGUUUUGAACCUGGUUAUAGUUAGCAUCUACGCCGGUGUAUAAAAUGACCGGUUUAUCCCCUGGAAGGAUCGUUGCUGAACCGGAAAUGCAACUUAUGGCAUCAAAUGGCUCGGAUGGAACAAGUGCAUGAUCAAGAUCGAACCAGUUAAUAAGAUCAUAUGAUGCAGAAUGUGCCCACACCAAACCAUGCACUAUUUGGAUUGUAUUGGUAGAAUAAGUGGUAGACUCCCUUGUUGUGCAUUGGCCCUGCAUGCAUAGAUGAACAAUAAUUUGUUGUCAGAUUUAACAUGCUGUAUCUGGACUUUUCAUUUUUCUUAAAAUACCCGUGUCCGAUACCUAGUCCGACACAUGCUCGAGCAUGAAAUAGAGCAUGAUCGUCUCAAUAUAUGAAUUUUUUUUUUUUUUAAAUUAUACUAUUAUUCAACACUCAUCUUCGAAUCCAUGAUACACAUUGACAUGAGUAUGAGGAUAUGAUUUUCCUAAAUCCGAGCAAUAUACAUAUAAAGUACAAAAGGAGAAGCAUAAAAAGAUAAGCUGAAACCUAAAGGAAAUUGGUUUCUUACCGUUAGGAUCUGUACAGUGAAUGUCACCCAUUUUCAUCAUCCCAUCAUUGAAGCAGAUCAGUUGAACCAAUUAACACCAAACAAGCACAUCAAUGCAGAGAAUUGGGAUUUUUUUAUUUUUUUAUUUAUUUUUUAAACAUGAAGUUGCAAGAACAAGAUCAGUUUCUUACCAUUCAUCCAGUUUCGAGGAGACUGGAAGUGAUAAGCUGUUCUAUAAGGCUGUUCUCCUGGCAAUAAAACCUGGAAAGAUUGAAAACUUGUCUUGUCUGUCAGAUAAUCACAGUCUUCCACUUUAUUCCCAUUGAUUAGCAGAAAACAAGAAAACCCAACAAACAGAAACAGAGAGAUAUCCAUUUUUUUGGCUCAAAAGAAGGCUGAGAUGAACCAAUGGGAUUUGUAAAACGUUUAUAUAUAUAUAAAGACCACGCAAGGACAAUAACCCAUGAAUUGUAAGAAUUUACACCGUGGUUAAAAGAAAUAAUUCUUAAUUUGCUAUAAUUAAAAAAAGAAAGAAAGAAACAAGUGUUGAGGUGUAAGAGAUAUCUGAUGGAUUUCCUUUACAACAUGAACUUCAUUAUUGCUUGCGUGUGGCUAAUUUCUUGUUUAACUAAAAUUAAAAUAUAAUCUUAAACUAAAGACUUGUAAAACAGUUAUGUAUAAGAAAAGACCAUUCAUGGACAAUAACCCAUAAGAAUUUACGCCAUGAUUAAAAGAAAUAAGUCUUAAUUUGCAAUAAUUAAAAAUAAUUAAAAUAUAAUCUUAAACUAAGACUUGUAAAACGAAAGAAUUGUUGAGGAGCAAGAGUUAUGUGAUGACCUCCCUUUUGCAACAUGAACUUCAUCAUUGCUGCGGUCAGCUUGAAUUGCGUGUGGCUAAUUUUUUGUUUAAUUAAAAUUAAAAAAAAUAACUUUAAAGACAUAUAUUUUUUUAAUACAAUAUCUAGAAUUAUUCAUAGUGUAUUCCUAACUCUUAAAUAAGAGUAUAAUGUACUUUAGCACACUUGAAUCCAUGUUCUCGACAAUAAUGCCGAUGCCAAUUAUAUUAAGACUCAAUCUGCAAAAAGACAACUACUCUACCAUUGCACUCAACACUUGUUGUAUUUUUAUUACUCUAUUAAUGUUUAACAUAUCUGCAUUUCAUCUUUAUUCAUGAUUCUGAAUAUCAUGUAUUAUUCUUCAUAUUCAAGGUUUAUAAUUAUUCCUCCUAACAAUAUUGUCUCUAAAUUUUGAAAUUAUGUUAUCUUCUGGAGAGUACAAUAUAUCUUAUCACUAUAUUCAACAGUUGUUGAUUUUAUAUGAUGAUAAACUAAAUUCUGAAAUUCAAUUUUGAUUAGAACUGUGAAGUGAUGGAGGACACAAAUUAAUUAGGUUUGAUGUAUUUGGGCAAAAUAAGGCCUAUAGGCCAUUUUUUAAUUCUAAUUAGGACUUUAGACCAAUUUUAACUUUAAUCGAGAAAUAGGUUGAUUUUAUAGAAAGUGCGUCUAACUAGUCCCCUUGUUAUACUAGAAUCCGUGAUUGUAUCACAACUGCCAACUGAUACCUUCAUGUAGACAUCGACCCCUGAUCAUAUCAAGCAUUAUUACCCCGAAACUGAAUUUUUCGACGAUGGGUUUUUAAGAUGAUGAUCCUAUCCGGCCAUGACAUAUGAAUUGUAUGUGUACUGAAGCGCAUAUCACAUUCCCAACUCCUUAAAAUUACUUAAGAAUUUCUGUCGUUUGAGUCAAAAACCCUAAAGACUUUUAAAAAAAAUUAAACAGUAAAAAAACCCUAAACUCAAUCCCCAAUCAAAUCAAAACCCUAACCCUAAAUAAAUAAAUAAAAAUCCUAAUUUUGGAAAGAGAAAAAGAAAGCGUAACCAGUUGGGUGCGUUUUACUGCCAUCUAUGCAUAAAGCGCAUUCAAUUGGAUGCGCUUUCCAUAAAACUGACUUAUUUCCCUAAUUAAAGUUAAAAUCAACUUAAAAACCUAAUUAAAUUAAGAAAAUGAUCUAUAGACUUUAUUUUGCCAUGAAUUCAAGUUGAAUCAAUUUAAUUUAAGUAUUAAUAUAUUUAAAUAAAUUCGGUUGUUAUCAUUUAUGUUUUUGAAUUGAUUUUUUUCAAUUCAAAGUAUCUCAGAGUUUAUCUGAAUUCUAAUGUUUUUUAGUUUAAAUAAAAUAGGUUGGAAUUAUUGAUUUUUUAUUAUUAAAUUGAGUUAGAGAUUGAAAUUAAUAAAAGCUCUCCAGUCUUACUUCUCAUUAAUAUGCCUUUGAUUUCAUGGCGAUGAGACUGUAUAUAGAAAGACAAAGCGUCCAAGUCGGUUCAACCACGUGGAUGACUUGGUCCACAUCUGAACCACAGCUUGGAGUCGCAAAACCAGCUUGUCCCCUCAGCCCAGCCAACCCAAUCUUCCAAUUGAACCACAGCUUGGUCCAAUUGAAUUUUCCGAAGCAUAAAAAAGUGUAAUAAUAAAUCAAGCCUUAAUGAAUUGGAUUUAAAAUCCAAGUAGAAAAACCAAAAUGUUUGUUUUUUUCAGAAGAUCGAUGCUAGGAUUCGUAUAUCGCAAAACGUCCUGCUCGCUAAGCUCCAACAUUGCCUACUCAUCUUCUCUAUGUAAAUUCUCACUGAUCCAAUGACGAAAAGGGGAGUUGAUUUGCUAUGGCGCGUUUGAUUAUGUUAUAUAAAGACAAAACCUUGAUUCGUGUGAGUUACUGUCAACUGAGAGCACAAUCAUUUUGCCUUUUGUCUUUCAAGGUUUUGAUUAUUUUAUAUGCCUCCACCUUCAAUCCAAAUGCGUUCAAUGUGAGCAAUAUUAGGCCAGUCCAAACCAGUAUCCAUUUGGCAUCUUUUCGAUAAUUGGGGACAACUAAUAAUUUUCAAGAACGUCAAAGAGGUGAGACGACGCAUCCCCUCUGGCAUUGAUGUAAACUUAACACAAUGAUAUAUUACCAUUACAAUAUUUUUAAGUUAUAGUAAUAAAAUUUUUAAAACAAAAUAUUAUUAUAAUAUUACAAAAUUAUAAAACAAAUAUAUAAUUUCACAUGCAAAUACUUCAAUAUUUCUAAGUAAGUAAUCUUUUACCUAUCUAUAUUUUUUCAAUUAACAAAAAAAUUAUAACUUCUUUUACCUUAAAUUUAUGGUAUUAUAUAGUAAUAUUUAAUUAUUUUAUAUAAAUUAGGAUUUGACUUUUAAAUUUCACAUAAUUUUUUUAAGAAAAUUAAACUGAAUUGAAUUUUCCGAAGCAUAAAAAAUUAUACAAUAAUAAUAAUAAUAAUAAUGAAUCGAGUCUUAAUGAAUUGGAUUCAAAAUCCAAGUAAAAAAACCCAAUUAAAAAUCCUAAUUUUAAUAGCCAAUAAACACCCUAAAGGGCCUGUUUUAUUGUAAAAAUGAUCCGGACAGUACCGGGUGUCUACGGACCUGUUAAUGGGUCAUGUUCUUUACUUCUUCCUCGAGAAAUCCUCGGAUAUAGUUUCGGUUUUCCCCCCUGCAGUUAUCUGGGCUUUAUUCAUACUCCAUGCAUUCAACCUUGAAACUGUUACACUGAGACUUCCAUUGUUGAAUGCAAAAAGAUGGGCUUCGUCAUAAAUAGCAAGCUUUGGAUAAACUCUUGUGGUGAUAACACUUCUUCCUUUUCCACCAAAACUCUCAAUUAUGGAAUGGUCUAUCUGAAAAAAAGGUGAACCAAGAAAUGUAAAAAUGGUAGAAACCAAAAUCAAAAUAUACCGAAAAGGCCAGAGCAGGGUGAACACAAAUCAACGCACCAAGGUUCUUAGUGAAACCAUUUCCCGCUGAGGAUCGAUGUCUAUGAAGGCUCCGUAUGUGGUUUUAUCUAACUCGUUCCGUAAAGAAGACCUGUUGAACAACAUGUUUUUUGACAUUGAAUCAAAUGAAUGUGGAUGACUUAUUGCUUAAAUUGUGGAUAGUUCUGGACAGAAGUGGUGACUAACCUCUUUUGGUCACUGCACAUAAGUACUUUAUAGUCUUUAUGGUCUCGGAAAACCCGGAAGAAAAUCGCAGUUUGUUCAGUCAAGUCUUUUGUUGCCAAAGCUAAUAAACCGAAUGGUCCGAAUUUUCCGGUCACAGAUGCAUCUUGUUUGUCACAGAUUAGUUGGGGAUCAACCAAACUGGUGUCUAUGAACUCGGCCUCUUCUAGUUUGGGCAAUUCAAACAUUAUUUCGAUAUCGGCCUUCCAACAUAGUAAGAAAAUUGUUCAUGACAAUGCAAUUACUUCAAAUACAAAUGGGAAAUUAAUAUGCAACGACAGAGAACUCACCUGCGAAGCAGUGAUGCCCGAAACUUCAAAAACCGACCCGCUUUCGAGCUGCUUGUCAUAAACAUAGACUUCAUUGCCACGUAGACUAUUGAGUUCUUCAACUGGCCACUGCACUAGUUGCUUGCCAUUUAGGUCAAGCCAAAUCUGCCUCGGAAUCGACUGCAAAGGAUUAUCCAUAAACCAUUGAGAUUGAGGAUCGGUGUGAUUCUAAUACAUCAUGCAGCGUCAAUAAAUAUGUAAUGUCAAUCACCUGAAGUCCAGACCAUCCUUUCUUUAGAUCAUCUUCCAUACUAUCGGAUUCAUUUACCCAAGCGCAUAGUAUCCUUCGGUUCUUCUUACCAUCAAAGAACGACUUUGAGGCGUAGAAUUUACCGUAAUCAAAUCUCAAGUCCAAACUGGUUCCGGUAAAGUCAGCAUCAGGAAGGAACCUUUCCUGCUCAGUAACAUAAGUCCCUACUGUAUAGUAAUCAUGGGAAUUGAAACUUGCCUUCAUGACAUGCCUAACACUUGGGUUUUCAACAGAGGUGUCGACCCCAUUGGUGCUGUUAAUCGACACGGGAAAGAAGUCUGGACACUCCCACAUUUCGGUUUUCAACGAUGAAUAAAGAGGAUCUCGAUGCAUAGUCCAAUGAACAAAAUCUUGACUUUGGAAGAGUAUAGCCAUGCCCUGGUUGUUGCUGUAGCUUCCAAUGACUACUUUCCAGGUUCCAUCAGGGCCCUGCCAAGCAGUUGUUGGAUCUCUAAAGUUAUCUCCUUUUACACCAUCCGGUGGAGUCAUUAGAGGGUUUCCGAAGUAUUUGACCCAUUCUACUAGCAAUGGGUCGGAUUCGUUUUUUGGGGUUGCCAGGUUU
rnacentral:lncRNA from 1 species